CUAAUGGAAGGAAAGACAGCAACUAUACGAAAACAUGAGCAACUGGAGGAUGUCUGGCUUGGAGAUAUGGGCCUAACGAAAAGAGAGGACAAAUGGAGUGAGAUUAGGAGGAAACAUCAGCGAAGCAGAGAGGAGAGUAGACAAGAGCUGGGGAAACAUAUCGAUCAAGGAGAACAGACAGAAAACAACAAAUGUAUGGUGCUGAGCCCAAGAGGAAGAAAUGCAGCGAGAAAGAAAGAUGCUGAAGAUCGAAGAAUGACAGAGGUGAAUAAACAGGGAAUUAAUGAGGUUAAGAACUUGGAAAAUGAGGGAAUGGACUGGCUCGAAGAAAUUAAGCAGAAUGUGGUGAGAAAGAAGAGAGAGAGUUUGCAAGAGGGACAGCAAAUUAUAGAUGAACAACUAUCCAUUCAGAAGGAAAGAAUGGGUGUAAUGAAAAACAAGAGAGAAAGAGAAAUGGAAGGGCAGCAGGUGGAGAGAUGUGGACAACUGGAUGACUGGCUAGGAGGUAUUGAUAGAACAUUUGAAAAAGAGAGAGAGAGGGAGCAAAAGAAAAGUGAAGAAAGGUGGAGUGAGAUUAGCCAAAAUCGUCAGAGGAAGUGUGAGGAAAAGGCCCAAGAACUGGGAAAGCAGCAAAAGCAAGAGACAGAGAUGCAGGUGACUAAACAGAAGGAGCUGGUGAGACAGACAGAGGCAGAACCCAACACCAAAGCAGAGGGACUGCUCGACAUGGUGAGACAGACACAGAGAAAGAAGACUGAAGACACACUGACUGGGAUGGAGACAGAGGGGCCAGUAAAGACAGUCAUGGCAUGGCAAGGUGACAGCAAACGGAUGGAUGGAUGGGUGAACAUACAGAAGAAUGAUGUGGAGAAGGACAUGGGAAGAAAUAGGAAGGUGGACAGUGAGAUGAGGGAGGCAAAAGGUUGCAGCGGACAGGAGCAACUGACAGAAAGAAAAGGGGACGUUGAGGAUGUUGCAGGUGCAAAGGCAGUGAGGAGAAAGCUGGAAGACAACCUGGAGAUGGAGAAGCAAACAAAAAACAUGGAAGGAUUCAUACAGUGGGGGAGGAAGGGGGACGUGGAUGCACAAACGUGUAGAAGUACUCAUCAGACUGACCUUGACCACACGUCAUGGGGUGCAGAGAGGCAAGCAGCCCUGCUGGCGCCAAAGACAGUAACAGGGCACUGGAGGGAAGAUAAAGAUGCGAUACAAGAAGACAAGACAAAGCCUGAGAUAGAGGCAGGAAAGGAGAGAUCAGAUCAACACACCAGAGAAAACUACUGUAAUACAAAGAC
rnacentral:lncRNA from 1 species